UCACGGACGGGAGGCUGUGACGCGCGGCCCAACACCCCUGGUCGCCGGGACCGCGCCGAGCCACUGGCGAGACCGACCCGCCGUAA
rnacentral:ncRNA from 1 species